UCCGGCGUGGUGUAAUUGGCAGCACCUGGGUUUUUGGUACCCAUAGUUCAGGUUCGAGUCCUGGCGCCGGAGCCC
rnacentral:tRNA from 1 species